UUUAAUUCACCAAUAAUUAACAAAUAUUUUUACUCCAUUGACAAAUACUCAGCCAGCCACCUAUUCGAAUUGACAUAAAUUUAUUUGUCAAAAUACCGUAUAAACAUAAUUGCCUUUAUCUCCAUUGUUUCUUUAAUUUUUUCUCCUGUCUACCCCGGUUUGUUUUAUCUUUUUCAAUAGAAAUAGGUGACCAAAAAUAAACAUUUCACAAAUUGUUACUUAUUGCUAAUUCCAUACCAACUUCGAGUCAUCCGUAACCAGUAUAGUGCGGACUAUAAAUUAAGUGAGGUUCAACAAGAGUGUUUCAAGUGCAGCUGUUCAAGCAGGAACUGAUAAGUAGUUAGAAUCUCGUAAAAUGCGAACAUCAUAGUGACAAUAGUGGUAGUAAAUCCCUACAUUCUAUGGUACAAUGAGUGAGGACUCGCAGAAUGAUGGCAGCAAGAAGAGUCCAUCACUGGCUGCUCCUGACGAGCCUGCUUUGCAAACAGACGAAUGCGGGGCGCAAGUCGACGCCACUACCUUUACACAUACAAACUCUGCACAGGUUAAAUUUUUAUUAUGAAUUUUCUAUAUAUCAAUUUCAAUAAACUGCUAAUAUAAUUA